UACCAGCACCCCGAGUGGUCGGGACGUUUAUUGGGCCUAAAGCAUCCGUAGCCGGUUCUACAAGUCUUCCGUUAAAUCCAGCUGCUUAACAGAUGGGCUGCGGAAGAUACUAUGGAGCUAGGAGGCGGGAGAGGCAAGCGGUACUCGAUGGGUAGGGGUAAAAAUCCGUUGAUCCAUUGAAGACCACCAGUGGCGAAGGCGGCUUGCCAGAACGCGCUCGACGGUGAGGGAUGAAAGCUGGGGGAGCAAACCGG
rnacentral:rRNA from 1 species